AGUGAACGCUGGCGGUAGGCCUAACACAUGCAAGUCGAACGGCAGCACAGUAAGAGCUUGCUCUUACGGGUGGCGAGUGGCGGACGGGUGAGGAAUACAUCGGAAUCUACUUUUUCGUGGGGGAUAACGUAGGGAAACUUACGCUAAUACCGCAUACUACCUACGGGUGAAAGCAGGGGAUCUUCGGACCUUGCGCGAUUGAAUGAGCCGAUGUCGGAUUAGCUAGUUGGCGGGGUAAAGGCCCACCAAGGCGACGAUCCGUAGCUGGUCUGAGAGGAUGAUCAGCCACACUGGAACUGAGACACGGUCCAGAAUCCUACGGGAGGCAGCAGUGGGGAAUAUUGGACAAUGGGCGCAAGCCUGAUCCAGCCAUACCGCGUGGGUGAAGAAGGCCUUCGGGUUGUAAAGCCCUUUUGUUGGGAAAGAAAAGCAGCAGGUUAAUACCCCGCUGUUCUGACGGUACCCAAAGAAUAAGCACCGGCUAACUUCGUG
rnacentral:rRNA from 1 species